AGUGAACGCUGGCGGUAGGCCUAACACAUGCAAGUCGAACGGCAGCAUAGUAAGAGCUUGCUCUUACGGGUGGCGAGUGGCGGACGGGUGAGGAAUACAUCGGAAUCUACUUUUUCGUGGGGGAUAACGUAGGGAAACUUACGCUAAUACCGCAUACGACCUACGGGUGAAAGCAGGGGAUCUUCGGACCUUGCGCGAUUGAAUGAGCCGAUGUCGGAUUAGCUAGUUGGCGGGGUAAAGGCCCACCAAGGCGACGAUCCGUAGCUGGUCUGAGAGGAUGAUCAGCCACACUGGAACUGAGACACGGUCCAGACUCCUACGGGAGGCAGCAGUGGGGAAUAUUGGACAAUGGGCGCAAGCCUGAUCCAGCCAUACCGCGUGAGUGAAGAAGGCCUUCGGGUUGUAAAGCCCUUUUGUUGGGAAAGAAAAGCAGCAGAUUUAUACCCCGCUGUUCUGACGGUACCCAAAGAAUAAGCACCGGCUAACUUCGUG
rnacentral:rRNA from 1 species